rnacentral:pre_miRNA from 1 species
UGCAUACUACCUCUGUCCCGAAUUAUUUAUUGCGGAAAUGUAUGUAUUUAGAUGUAUUUUUAGUUCUAUAUACAUUCAUUUCUAUUCAUUUCCGCGACAAGUAAUUCAGGACGGAGGGGGUAUUAA